UGGGGAAUAUUGCACAAUGGGGGAAACCCUGAUGCAGCGACGCCGCGUGAACGAAGAAGGUAUUCGUAUCGUAAAGUUCUGUCCUAUGGGAAGAUAAUGACAGUACCAUAGAAGAAAGCUCCGGCUAAAUACGUGCCAGCAGCCGCGGUAAUACGUAUGGAGCGAGCGUUGUCCGGAAUUAUUGGGCGUAAAGGGUACGCAGGCGGUUUAAUAAGUCGAAUGUUAAAGAUCGGGGCUCGACCCCGUAAAGCAUUGGAAACUGAUAAACUUGAGUAGUGGAGCGGAAAGUGGAAUUCCUAGUGUAGUGGUGAAAUACGUAGAUAUUAGGAGGAAUACCAGUAGCGAAGGCGACUUUCUGGACGCAAACUGACGCUGAGGUACGAAAGCGUGGGGAGCAAACAGG
rnacentral:rRNA from 1 species